AAGUUCCGGUUUGUGGCCUGCCCCGCUUGUGUUCGUGGAGGAAGAGGGAUGGACCCGCCGCUGCCUAGAGUGCAACGAGAACGGCAUGGCACGCUGUCCUAAUUGCUGUUCUUGAUAGCUUGUUUAAAUUGUUGGUUGUAGCAUAUACAAGAACCAAAGGAUUGUUUGAUUAGAUGUAGUGGAGAGAGCGAAGGAGCCUUUCUUAUGUUCUUGGGCUGCUGUAUAUUGUGAACGCAGUUGGAGGAUGGGUAUUGGGUAUGCUGUCAGUGUUUUGAGAGGAUAGCGAAUGAGUUCUUGGCCCUGAAGUUAUCACAAUUGCAGUACUGUCGAUAGUAAGGUGCCAUCACUAGGACGCUAUCAGCAUGUGCGCUACUGUCUGGUUCGUGACAAAUCUUGCUACUUUCCUAUUCAGGUCACGCACGCCAAGCAGGAGCAGUUCGAGCGCUAGCAGGGAUUGGAGCAUCAAGAAGAUCCUCCAAGACCAAGAUGCAGUCACAUGGACCACAGAACAUCGAGGGCACCGAGUUGCGG
rnacentral:lncRNA from 1 species